UCAGUUUUCUUUUUAAAUAUUCUUUAUCAUAUUCUUUAUCUAUUUCUAUUCCCACGUGGUUUGUGGCGAUAGACUUAAAUAAGCACUGUAUUUGGGUAGUUACUAAAAGCUAUUUUUUCCUGACGAUCCUUCCCAGCUACACCGUGCAAGAAAAGUCCCAUCAAACAACGCGUCUAAAGCCUCAUGCAUCCUGUUGUUGGCAUCCUGGCGGCUGAUAUCCGCAUCUAUUAUUAAAGUAUAACUGCAAAAUGCAAAAUCGUCUCCAGCUAUUUUUGCUUCAAAUGCAUCAAACUUUUGUUCAUUUUCGAUUUUUUCUAUUGCUAAACUCUGCGCAUUUCUUCUUAUACCCUUCAUAGGAUUCAGUAUUGUGGACUGCUAAUUUAAAAUCACCAUAAUCUGUGCGCUGCGUGCAUCUAUUUUCAUUAACAGCAUCCGACAACGAAGGCAGCAGCUUCCAGAAUGCUCUGUAGAAGUAAUUGAAAGGACUGCUUGAUUUGCUCCUGCUGCAGCCUGGUGUUCAUAGUCGGUGAUCAUCAUUAUUGGUGAUGAAGGCAGCACAGGCAAAUUUAUCACAACAGGACCAGUUGCUCGUUCAGUCGUUAUGUACGAUGUACCGGCGCUUGUCGAUGGCACUUGGUUACCACCAUCAACUAUCUUGCCUGGCGGACGGAUCUGGCUAGGAACACAGGUAAAAAAUUGCUCAGAUAUAGCAGUACUCGUUGAUGGUUUUUGAACAUUAACGCUGAUCAUUUUGGCUGGUGUACGGCUCACAAUACAAACAGAUCCUCUAGCAGCCGCUAUCACCGAUGCAGAAGACGACUGGUGAGUAAAUGUUGUCUUACAACAGCGGACAUCAUACCACGCUUAUUCUUCGGAGCAUGAACUUCGACAAGCGAUGCAAUCGAUGGUACUGCAGAUCCCGCCAAUGCCUGUUGUCUACCGUUCUUCAUGUCUGAUUCCUGCGGUAGAGCAUCAGCAACCGGUACCACUGAUGGCGCAGCAGUACUAGUUGACGGUUGCUGUCCAUGUUGCUGGCCUAACGGACAGAAUGGUGUAGGAACACCAGGUAAUGUUGACCGAUGAUGAUUACCAUCACCGGCAUUCGAGACCAGCGCUGACACUUCAUCCGUUACCUUCAGCUGUUCAACAACACGGACUGGCAUUCUUUGUUGACUCGUGCUGACCGGCCACUGAAACCACCUAAGGCACUGCACUUGUUGUCGGAAGUUGUCCAAUAACACGCACCGGCAAUCCGGGAGGACGGAUGGUUCGAGGAAUGGCAACCGAAACCAUCGAUGGCACUGCACUUGUUGUCGGAAGUUGUCCAACUACACGGACCGGCAAUCUGGGAGGACGGAUAGCACGAGGAAUGGCAACCGGAACCACCGAUGGCACUGCACUUGUCGUCGGAAGUUGUCCAACAACACGGACUGGUACAUCUGACUGACGAAGCUACUUAUCACAUACCCGCAUUUUAUGUCCCCAUUCUUGGUGUUUCCGGGUUACUCGCCAUCGCGCUGUAGUCGGAUCAUACUGCACCUGUCCUGCUUCGAUUAAUGCCUCCGCAAAGACAAAAUUAGAGCACGCGUUCCUAUUCCUCAUCCUCCGGCACCGUCUGGAGAAUGUGGGAGUCACUGCUCUAUAAAAACCACCGAACUACCACAAACUGGAAACAGCGGAAAACCCCGUGGGUCACCGGCCACAGUGCUAAAUUGAAGCAAAGUUGAACUAAUAUGCCGUGCGAAAAAGCAAAAUAAAUAUUUCAUUUUAAUGUUGAUUAAGCUACACCGACAUUAUAUUUUUCAUCUAAAACGUUUUUGAUGUGUUUUUUCUCAUCACGUUUAGGCGUCGUGUAUCAGAUCGCAACUGCUAAUAAUUUUAUCGUCUGAGGCGGACUGUUAUGGAGGUACAAAAUCUUCAGUGAUGCGUUCACGCAUCUACGAGCCGGUAAUUGGCGGUAUCCAGAUCAUCAUCGUACUGUUAGCUUACCUAAGCUACCGAAAUUAGCGACAGUGUAAAAUGUAAGAGAAAAAUGUUACAUGGAUUGCGCUUCACUAACAAUAUUUUUCUCUUAUAUUGUCUAUUUCAGCUGUGCUGUGAGAAUUAUAGUUGGCUCUCACAACCGUCCGGAAGUCGCAGUGAUUUGGUAACAUCAAGAUUGUAGCAACCUUGAUCCCAUAAUAAUUGGGAAUUAUUAUAGCUAGAAUAUGUUUAUAGAUUAGGAUAGAGGAUUAGGAUAGUUUAUAAGAAUAGAAGGAAGUAAGAAUAAAGCCUUCUUUUUGGUAACGACACAGCCGUGAGACUAAGCUCCGUGAACCCGCUACAUUGGUGACUCCGACGUGAUCAAUAAGUUCCGUCACAACGUGAUCGUAUAUAGUGAUAGUGCACAAGUUAAACCCGGAGAAAGUGUACGCCAUUCUUCACGCGAUCAUUGAUAUCUCGCAGGUAACGCGCCACACGGCAUUAUUAACGUCGUUUAACUGAGAGAGAGAGAGAGAGAGAGAGAGAGAGAGAGAGAGAGAGAGAGAGAGAGAGAGAGAGAGAGAGAAAGAAAGCGGGCUCUCUAGUUCAGUCCUGUACGACACGAGCACAGCUCGAGCGUUUUGGUUACACCUUACGCCAAAGGCCUGCCGCUAUUUUUUGGCCGUUUAAAAUCGUACCGCGCAAUCGAGCGAAACGCUACGUUCGUUUGCCACAAUCGUAAUAUAUUUCGAUUGCCACAAUCGUGAAGAGGACCCUCUCGUCUUAGACCCGCCAUCGCAAAGUAACCAUUUUGCCCACCAAUAGGUGCCGCCAUCGCGAAAAGAGCCAACACGCACACCACGAGGUACCGCUAUCGCGGGGGCAAUUUCCAAGAAAGAAGCAAUUUUCGCGCCGACCACGAGGCGCAUCCACCGCAUACACCAAGCAAUUUGGAGAGAGAAGAAGUAUUCGCAUCUACCUUGAGGUGUCAUCGCCACUAAUAACCGUCGAGGCAACGAUAAGGAACAACUAAUUCUACUCAUCAUCGCCGUACCCAGCGGUAUCAGACGAUCGCAGUUAUCGGCACGCCCCCGUUCCUUCUUACCCUGCUGCAUUGCCAUAACUAGUGGCACGAGAGGCCAGAUUCUGCAACACACAUAUUGGUCCCUGUCGCCACACUGAUCUACGAAGAUCGGUACGAACAUCUACAUCAGCAGCUUCACACCACGGCCAUCGGCAGUUGCAGCGUUCUCUACAGGUACACUGGUGGACAUAAAAAUAGGAACUUUUUUCUGUGACCGAAAAACAUAGUUCUUGUCGGAAAUAUUUGGUAGCCCUGAAAAGGACUGUUUAAGUGGUUGUUUGGAGGUGGUGUUGCGGUGUUCCACAGAGCGGAUACAUAUUCUAACGGUCAAUGUGUUGACCGUUAUUCGCUAUCACUUCCUCACAGCGUAGGGCCAUAUCGCCGAUGAGGUUACGGCAUUCGCUUCUGUCUAUGCGUUUCCACAUAGCCUUGCAGCGUCUCCAUAGCGAAUCGGCAGAACCCAAAGCCUCUCUAAACCAUACUAACAACAACAACAACUGUUGGCGAUGACACACCUAUUGCACGCAAAAAAACAC